ACGAGAUAUCGAGCGUGUGCCGUACGAUUAGGAUCCAAAGGGUGAUAGGAGUAUACUGCUUGAGAUGUGGACUGGACUGUGGUAGACUUCGGAUCUUGGAAGAUCGUGAUUGAACCCAUUCAUUGAUCAAUAAUAAUUAAUUAAAUAUAUUGCUAUUCAGAUCUUCGCUGGCUGCUACGUAGUGCUAUGAACGCUGCUAUACACACGAUGCCACGCAGACGAUUUGUGGACGAUGCUAAAUUCAAGCCAUGUGAUGCACAGCAGCAGCACUGUUCUACGGUUGGACUUGACUGUCGGCUACACAUCGUGUGUGCAGUUUCGUCUGCACAGCAAUUUCGUAGUGCUAUCUCUACAGUCUGGCGAUAUUCUUUUCUGAAUUAAAAUUAAUGAUGGC
rnacentral:lncRNA from 1 species